UACGUAGGGCGCAAGCGUUGUCCGGAAUUAUUGGGCGUAAAGAGCUCGUAGGCGGUCUGUUGCGUCGGCUGUGAAAACCCGGGGCUCAACCCCGGGCCUGCAGCCGAUACGGGCAGACUAGAGUUCGGCAGGGGAGACUGGAAUUCCUGGUGUAGCGGUGAAAUGCGCAGAUAUCAGGAGGAACACCGGUGGCGAAGGCGGGUCUCUGGGCCGAUACUGACGCUGAGGAGCGAAAGCGUGGGGAGCGAACAGG
rnacentral:rRNA from 1 species